ACAGGAAUGCCUUAUCACCACCUUCCAGGAAGCCUACUUUGUUUCAGAAAGUUUUGAAGAAGCCAAAGAAAAGAUGAGAUGGGAUUUUUCUACUUACCCAUAUGCAUGAUGGAAUAUGGUGACUUUAUAACUUCUGAGGUACAGAUUGGCAAUAUGGCCCGUACAAGCACUGUUUUGGGUGCUGUUGUUCCAGAAACACAACUGAUGUCUCCUGGGGGUGGUAAGACAACAGGAAAAGUGAAUUCUUUAUCUAACAGGUAAUAACUCAAAUGCUUCUGUCAAAGGCUGGUUUUCCAGGCCUGUUGGAGACAGACCACUUGGAUAAGAAACAGUCAAGAGACUUUAUCAUCUGUUUCUCCCAUGUCCAACUGCUAUGGAAUGAACUGGGUGCCUCCAGAAUUCCCAACUGAAGCCCUAACUUGCAGUGUGACUGUAUUUGGAAAUAGGACCUGCAGGAAGUAAUUAAGCCUAAGUGAGGUCAUAAGGGUAGGGCCCUAAUCCGAUAAGUCUGGUGCCUUAUGAGAAGAGGAAGAGACACCAGAGCUGUCUUUCUACCAUGUGAGGACACAGUGAGGCUUGUUGGUGUUGAUUACAUGGCUCUAGGAACUGUCUGAGAAUCAAGGAAUUUCUACAACUGUUCUCGAAAAAGCUCUCAUCUUUUGUAGCCUCAAGACUAAUUUAGAUGGAAAUCAGAUGGAAAGCCUGAUGCUGCAGUUUGUUGAAUUAUAAGGUAGGUUGAAUUUACAGUUUUACCAUUUGUUUUUCAAAAAAUUG
rnacentral:sRNA from 1 species